rnacentral:rRNA from 1 species
AUUGAACGCUGGCGGCAUGCCUUACACAUGCAAGUCGAACGGUAACGGGCCUUCGGGUGCCGACGAGUGGCGAACGGGUGAGUAAUACAUCGGAACGUGCCCGAUCGUGGGGGAUAACGAGGCGAAAGCUUUGCUAAUACCGCAUACGAUCUACCGAUGAAAGCAGGGGACCGCAAGGCCUUGCGCGGACGGAGCGGCCGAUGGCAGAUUAGGUAGUUGGUGGGAUAAAAGCUUACCAAGCCGACGAUCUGUAGCUGGUCUGAGAGGAUGAUCAGCCACACUGGGACUGAGACACGGCCCAGACUCCUACGGGAGGCAGCAGUGGGGAAUUUUGGACAAUGGGCGCAAGCCUGAUCCAGCCAUGCCGCGUGCAGGAUGAAGGCCUUCGGGUUGUAAACUGCUUUUGUACGGAACGAAAAGCCUUCUUUUAAUACAGGAGGGUCAUGACGGUACCGUAAGAAUAAGCACCGGCUAACUACGUG